UACGAAGGGGGCUAGCGUUGUUCGGAAUUACUGGGCGUAAAGCGCACGUAGGCGGACAUUUUAAGUCAGGGGUGAAAUCCCGGGGCUCAACCCCGGAACGGCCUUUGAUACUGGGUGUCUUGAGUUCGGAAGAGGUGAGUGGAAUUGCGAGUGUAGAGGUGAAAUUCGUAGAUAUUCGCAGGAACACCAGUGGCGAAGGCGGCUCACUGGCCCGAUACUGACGCUGAGGCACGAAAGCGUGGGGAGCAAACAGG
rnacentral:rRNA from 1 species